UACGAAGGGUGCAAACGUUGCUCGGAAUUACUGGGCGUAAAGGGCUCGUAGGCGGCCAACUAAGUCAGACGUGAAAUCCCUCGGCUUAACCGGGGAACUGCGUCUGAUACUGGAUGGCUUGAGUUCGGGAGAGGGAUGCGGAAUUCCAGGUGUAGCGGUAGAAAUGCGUAGAUAUCUGGAGGAACACCGUGGCGGAGGACGGCGAUCCUGGACCGAGACUGACGCUGAGGAGCGAAAGCCAGGGGAGCAAACGGG
rnacentral:rRNA from 1 species